rnacentral:rRNA from 1 species
GUGAGGAAUAUUGGUCAAUGGACGGAAGUCUGAACCAGCCAUGCCGCGUGCAGGAAUAAGGUCCUAUGGAUUGUAAACUGCUUUUAUUCGGGAAUAAACCUCUUUACGUGUAGGGAGCUGAAGGUACCGAAGGAAUAAGCACCGGCUAACUCCGUGCCAGCAGCCGCGGUAAUACGGAGGGUGCAAGCGUUAUCCGGAAUCAUUGGGUUUAAAGGGUCCGCAGGCGGGCUAUCAAGUCAGAGGUGAAAUCCCACAGCUUAACUGUGGAACUGCCUUUGAAACUGAUGGUCUUGAAUUAAGUGGGCGUUGGCGGAAUAUGACAUGUAGCGGUGAAAUGCAUAGAUAUGUCAUGGAACACCGAAAGCGAAGGCAGCUAACGAUACUUAUAUUGACGCUCAUGGACGAAAGCGUGGGUAGCGAACAGGAUUAGAAACCCGGGUAGUCC